rnacentral:rRNA from 1 species
UACGGGGGGGGCAAGCGUUGUUCGGAAUUACUGGGCGUAAAGGGCGCGUAGGCGGCCUUCUCAGUCGGGUGUGAAAGCCCGGGGCUCAACCCCGGAACGGCACCCGAGACGGGAAGGCUGGAGACCGGGAGAGGAGGGUGGAAUAGCCAGUGUAGAGGUGAAAUUCGUAGAUAUUAGGAAGAACACCAGUGGCGAAGGCGGCUCACUGGCCCGGUACUGACGCUGAGGCGCGAAAGCGUGGGGAGCAAACAGG